UUAAGUUAGAAAGGGCGCACGGUGGAUGCCUUGACACUAGGAGUCGAUGAAGGACGGGACUAACGCCGAUAUGCUUCGGGGAGCUGUAAGUAAGCUUUGAUCCGAAGAUUUCCGAAUGGGGAAACCCACCAUACGUAAUGGUAUGGUAUCCUUAUCUGAAUACAUAGGGUAAGGAAGACAGACCCAGGGAACUGAAACAUCUAAGUACCUGGAGGAAGAGAAAGCAAAUGCGAUUUCCUGAGUAGCGGCGAGCGAAACGGAACAUAGCCCAAACCAAGAGGCUUGCCUCUUGGGGUUGUAGGACAUUCUAUACGGAGUUACAAAGGAACGAGGUAGACGAAGCGACCUGGAAAGGUCCGUCGUAGAGGGUAACAACCCCGUAGUCGAAACUUCGUUCUCUCUUGAAUGUAUCCUGAGUACGGCGGAACACGUGAAAUUCCGUCGGAAUCUGGGAGGACCAUCUCCCAAGGCUAAAUACUCCCUAGUGAUCGAUAGUGAACCAGUACCGUGAGGGAAAGGUGAAAAGCACCCCGGAAGGGGAGUGAAAGAGAUCCUGAAACCGUGUGCCUACAAAUAGUCAGAGCCCGUUAACGGGUGAUGGCGUGCCUUUUGUAGAAUGAACCGGCGAGUUACGAUCCCGUGCGAGGUUAAGCUGAAGAGGCGGAGCCGCAGCGAAAGCGAGUCUGAAUAGGGCGUUUAGUACGUGGUCGUAGACCCGAAACCAGGUGAUCUACCCAUGUCCAGGGUGAAGUUCAGGUAACACUGAAUGGAGGCCCGAACCCACGCACGUUGAAAAGUGCGGGGAUGAGGUGUGGGUAGCGGAGAAAUUCCAAUCGAACCUGGAGAUAGCUGGUUCUCCCCGAAAUAGCUUUAGGGCUAGCCUUAAGUGUAAGAGUCUUGGAGGUAGAGCACUGAUUGGACUAGGGGUCCUCAUCGGAUUACCGAAUUCAGUCAAACUCCGAAUGCCAAUGACUUAUCCUUAGGAGUCAGACUGCGAGUGAUAAGAUCCGUAGUCAAAAGGGAAACAGCCCAGACCGCCAGCUAAGGUCCCAAAGUGUGUAUUAAGUGGAAAAGGAUGUGGAGUUGCUUAGACAACUAGGAUGUUGGCUUAGAAGCAGCCACCAUUUAAAGAGUGCGUAAUAGCUCACUAGUCGAGUGACUCUGCGCCGAAAAUGUACCGGGGCUAAAUACACCACCGAAGCUGCGGAUUGAUACCAAUGGUAUCAGUGGUAGGGGAGCGUUCUAAGGACAGUGAAGUCAGACCGGAAGGACUGGUGGAGUGCUUAGAAGUGAGAAUGCCGGUAUGAGUAGCGAAAGACGGGUGAGAAUCCCGUCCACCGAAUGCCUAAGGGUUCCUGAGGAAGGCUCGUCCGCUCAGGGUUAGUCAGGACCUAAGCCGAGGCCGACAGGCGUAGGCGAUGGACAACAGGUUGAUAUUCCUGUACCACCUCUUUAUCGUUUGAGCAAUGGAGGGACGCAGAAGGAUAGAAGAAGCGUGCGAUUGGUUGUGCACGUCCAAGCAGUUAGGCUGAUAAGUAGGCAAAUCCGCUUAUCGUGAAGGCUGAGCUGUGAUGGGGAAGCUCCUUAUGGAGCGAAGUCUUUGAUUCCCCGCUGCCAAGAAAAGCUUCUAGCGAGAUAAAAGGUGCCUGUACCGCAAACCGACACAGGUAGGCGAGGAGAGAAUCCUAAGGUGUGCGAGAGAACUCUGGUUAAGGAACUCGGCAAAAUGACCCCGUAACUUCGGGAGAAGGGGUGCUUUCUUAACGGAAAGCCGCAGUGAAUAGGCCCAAGCGACUGUUUAGCAAAAACACAGCUCUCUGCGAAGCCGUAAGGCGAAGUAUAGGGGGUGACACCUGCCCGGUGCUGGAAGGUUAAGGAGAGGGGUUAGCGUAAGCGAAGCUCUGAACUGAAGCCCCAGUAAACGGCGGCCGUAACUAUAACGGUCCUAAGGUAGCGAAAUUCCUUGUCGGGUAAGUUCCGACCCGCACGAAAGGUGUAACGAUUUGGGCACUGUCUCAACCAGAGACUCGGUGAAAUUAUAGUACCUGUGAAGAUGCAGGUUACCCGCGACAGGACGGAAAGACCCCGUGGAGCUUUACUGUAGCCUGAUAUUGAAUUUUGGUACAGUUUGUACAGGAUAGGCGGGAGCCUUUGAAACCGGAGCGCUAGCUUCGGUGGAGGCGCUGGUGGGAUACCGCCCUGACUGUAUUGAAAUUCUAACCUACGGGUCUUAUCGACCCGGGAGACAGUGUCAGGUGGGCAGUUUGACUGGGGCGGUCGCCUCCUAAAGUGUAACGGAGGCGCCCAAAGGUUCCCUCAGAAUGGUUGGAAAUCAUUCGUAGAGUGCAAAGGCAUAAGGGAGCUUGACUGCGAGACCUACAAGUCGAGCAGGGACGAAAGUCGGGCUUAGUGAUCCGGUGGUUCCGCAUGGAAGGGCCAUCGCUCAACGGAUAAAAGCUACCCCGGGGAUAACAGGCUUAUCUCCCCCAAGAGUCCACAUCGACGGGGAGGUUUGGCACCUCGAUGUCGGCUCAUCGCAUCCUGGGGCUGUAGUCGGUCCCAAGGGUUGGCUGUUCGCCCAUUAAAGCGGUACGCGAGCUGGGUUCAGAACGUCGUGAGACAGUUCGGUCCCUAUCCGUCGUGGGCGUAGGAAUUUUGAGAGGAGCUGUCCUUAGUACGAGAGGACCGGGAUGGACGCACCGCUGGUGUACCAGUUGUUCUGCCAAGGGCAUAGCUGGGUAGCUAUGUGCGGAAGGGAUAAGUGCUGAAAGCAUCUAAGCAUGAAGCCCCCCUCAAGAUGAGAUUUCCCAUAGCGUAAGCUAGUAAGAUCCCUGAAAGAUGAUCAGGUUGAUAGGUUCGAGGUGGAAGCAUGGUGACAUGUGGAGCUGACGAAUACUAAUAGAUCGAGGACUUAACCAU
rnacentral:rRNA from 1 species